rnacentral:RNase_P_RNA from 1 species
UGGAGGGGCCGGGCGGCUGUCGGUGAGCCUGGAGCCAUCAGGCUCGCUGAGGAAGCUCCCCCAUCCAGGGCCAGCGCGGCGCCGUAAGGCGCCACCUCGAGAGGGGUGCGGAGAGCACAGCAACGACACGUCUACCGGUGGGGUGGCGUUGAUGGGGCGUGGACCCCUUGAGGACCCCGGUAGGACCGUUGAAACGGGCUCUCCGCGCGCGGAUAAAGACGAGCCGUGGUGAGGAUGGCCCUCGAGCGGCUCAAGGUCGCUUAGCCGAAUGCCGCCUAAACAGAAGGGGGGCUACGAGCCCCUCCA